rnacentral:rRNA from 1 species
UGAGUAAUGUCUGGGAAACUGCCUGAUGGAGGGGGAUAACUACUGGAAACGGUAGCUAAUACCGCAUAACGUCGCAAGACCAAAGAGGGGGACCUUCGGGCCUCUUGCCAUCAGAUGUGCCCAGAUGGGAUUAGCUAGUAGGUGGGGUAACGGCUCACCUAGGCGACGAUCCCUAGCUGGUCUGAGAGGAUGACCAGCCACACUGGAACUGAGACACGGUCCAGACUCCUACGGGAGGCAGCAGUGGGGAAUAUUGCACAAUGGGCGCAAGCCUGAUGCAGCCAUGCCGCGUGUAUGAAGAAGGCCUUCGGGUUGUAAAG